UCAUGACAACUAUCCUCACACCCGCAAGGAUGUUUCUGAGUUUAUGAAACACAACCUCUCAGAGGGGGCUUGGUCACCAGUCCUGGCCUUGCAUCAUGCGGCCGUGGCACAAGGAGAAAUGCCAGUGUGUCCUUGUUUGUGGUCUCACCCCCAACCUUACAUGGGACUCUCAGCGACAAGGCCAGCACAUACACAUGCUAUGCUUUUUUCCUAAAACCCACAACAUGGGAAAGUGGAAAUCCAUGUGGUCUCAGAGGAUGCGGACAGAGGCAGAUGGUGACAGCUGGAGACCUAAGUGACAAGUAUCUGUGUGUCAGUGCUCUGCCUAGGGGAGGACCAGUAAAGCUGGGGCAUCCUGUGGACCACCUCCCGGCUCAGGUCCCACAGUUUCGAUGAACAUGAGCCCUGGGUAGGAAACAGUGAAUCCCGGCAGAGGUGGUGGAAAGAAUCGAUAGAUGUGGACGGCCACCGGUGCUCCAAACCCCUGUAAACAUCUCACCUCUUCAAAAGUGAGAUCGUGGGCCUCCUCGGGCAGUGGACGGUGAUUCGGCCCGGGCUAGUGAGGAGGCCACUGAACAGCUGUGGAGAGACAGGGAUCCCAUGGAACAGAAGAAACCAUCAGAAGGGCUGUGGCUACUGCCACAGGAGGCUGGAGGGAUCAGACUGGCUGGAGUCCCGGGUUCUGGAGACAGGCCUUUCGGGGACUCAGCUGAGAGGUGAAGCUGUACGCAGUGAAGCCCCGGGACACCGUAGAGAAUGUGGCACUGAGGUGCGUGUCCCUGAGCUUCGGUGUUCUCUGAAAUCGGUGAGGUGUACGGAUGGGAGCAAGACAUUUCCUGUCUGUGGAAGAAAUACUGAGACUACCCUCGCCAAAGGAAACCACAUGGAGGUUCAAGUGGCGUAGAGGUGUAGACGAGAAGGGCCCAAGCAUGGUCAAAAACUGGAGAGCAGCCUCGGCUACAUGCAAAAUUUGAGGCUAGCGUGAGCCUUCCGUAUGGUGAAGCCCUGUCUUCGGACAACAGCAGCCACGCAGAAAGUAAACUCCGUGAAAGCCAGGACUGAAAGAUGCAUUUGUGAUUCCGUAUGUCGAGGUGCAGGACUUCCUGAGCUGAACAUUUAGCAUUGUGCUUUCCCUGUCAAUUUACAGAACCAAGCCUUGUCUGGCCUGAGUUUAACUUACUUUGCUCCUCAAGGAGCUUUAUGUAUGCUUUGUUGUGCGCAUGGAACUGAGUUAAUUAUCAGCAGAAUAGUUUCCACUAGAUUGUGCUACGCUUAAAGAUGCCUAAAAUAAACCCUCAGGGA